GAUUAAGGCUUUAUCUUAAUUAAAGAGUCUGAGUUGCAUUCAGGAAAUGUGAAUUAGUAUUUCGCAAGUCUUAGCA
rnacentral:tRNA from 1 species